rnacentral:rRNA from 1 species
GGUAGGGUAACGGGCCUACCAAGGCGAUGAUGCAUAGCCGAGUUGAGAGACUGAUCGGCCACAUUUGGGGACUGAGACACGGCCCAAACUCCUACGGGAGGCAGCAGUAGGGAAUCUUCCACAAUGGACGCAAGUCUGAUGGAGCAACGCCGCGUGAGUGAAGAAGGGUUUCGGCUCGUAAAGCUCUGUUGUUGGUGAAGAAGGACGAGGGGUAGUAACUAACCUUUGUUUGACGGUAAUCAAUUAGAAAGUCACGGCUAACUACGUGCCAGCAGCCGCGGUAAU